CAAGCAGAAGGCGGUUGAGAAGUUGACGGAAAUUGUCUAACCCCAAUGUCUUGGUAAAAAUUAAUAAUUUAAUUAUUUUUCCUCAUUUAUUUGAGUAUAUAGUAACUAAUUUAUGUCUUGACGGCUUCAUAAGUCAUCAAGUUUGAUUGUUACAAUUGAUUGAUACCAAUGACUGGAUAUAUUAUGUCAUGAAUAUAUUCUAUAUAUUUGGGUAUCUUGAGUAUUUACUCAUUCGAAUGAUUGUUCAUCAUCACUUUCUUCACUGAUGCUUGGUUGGUGCAAAAAUGCUUUGAGAAAAAAAUAAACUUCAGUAAGAGAUCAAUUGGAGUAAAAUUAAUUCAUUGAUUCGGAUCAUCAUGAAUCUCUUGUGCAGGUUUUGGAUGCUGGAAGCGCAGAAAUACGUCCGCCGAGAAAUUGAAAGAAUUGUCUGCUGCUCUGGAUAUUUCUCGAUGUGACAGGUUUAUGAUUGAGAAAAAAUGAAUUAUUUCACUAUAACAGAAAUAUUAAAAUAUAGUUUAUAAAAUUCUAUAAAUGCAAAGCGAGAAUUGGGAUCGAUGGUGUAACCCGACAAAGAAAAUUGGAUACUAUUUCAUAUACUUAUGAUUACUAUUUCUACUGAUUAAUUGAUCUAACCUGGAUCU